rnacentral:lncRNA from 1 species
AGCACUCAUGAGAGCUGAACCAAGGCUAGUUUUCUGGCUUAAAGAAAAUCAUUUCCAUCCUCUACGUAUACUUGGCAGGCUAUAGGCUUUACAUAAUCUUGGCAGCAAGAGUAUGAAAACUUUCCCUCAGGAUUCAAGAAGGCAGUUGUGCCAAUUUUUAGCAUGGAUAUUCUGCCUUCAGACCUGACAGUUGAAUACCUCUGAGACUCAACUUAGACAACCGCAGUCAUAGAUUCCAUGGAGAAACCCUCACAGUAUUCCACUUCUCACCUCAACCAGCCCCACUGUGGAGGCGCAGCCUCAGGUACCCUUCCUGUGUUGGGAGGAAUGUACAGCUGCUU